ACGGAAGGCAGCAGUGGGGAAUAUUGGACAAUGGGGGAAACCCUGAUCCAGCGACGCCGCGUGAGUGAAGAAGUAUUUCGGUAUGUAAAGCUCUAUCAGCAGGGAAGAAAAAAUGACGGUACCUGACUAAGAAGCCCCGGCUAACUACGUGCCAGCAGCCGCGGUAAUACGUAUGGAGCAAGCGUUAUCCGGAUUUACUGGGUGUAAAGGGAGCGUAGACGGCAAAGCAAGUCUGAAGUGAAAUCCCGGGGCUCAACCCCGGAACUGCUUUGGAAACUGUUUAGCUAGAGUGCAGGAGAGGUAAGCGGAAUUCCUAGUGUAGCGGUGAAAUGCGUAGAUAUUAGGAGGAACACCAGUGGCGAAGGCGGCUUACUGGACUGUAACUGACGUUGAGGCUCGAAAGCGUGGGGAGCGAACAGGAUAGAUACCCUGGUA
rnacentral:rRNA from 1 species